UAAAAAGCGUUGAUAGAGAGUAGUAAGCUUAAAACCGCCUUUCAGGGAGGGAAUGCCAAAGACUGGAAGCGUUUCUAUGGUAGGAUGGGCCGAAUUCACUCUUGAGCUGGCAUCUCUAAAAGAUGUUCCCGGUUUAGAGCCGUUAUGGACAAUGAAGUUGCACUUUUUUAGCAAGUGCAAACGAAGGGUGGUACCACGGAGCUUUCGUCCCUUUU
rnacentral:ncRNA from 1 species